AUUUACUCAACAUAACUACAAUCAGCAUUAUUCAACUUUCUGUGUGAUUAUCUAAAAUGGCCGCUAGGGAGUUUCCCUUUUAACAUCGACUAACACUCUCAUUAGCAAGAUGGCGCAGGAAUCUGGGGGAGACCUCCACGAUGCCAGUGACAUCACCCUCAGUAGGCAGAGCAUUAAAUGAACCACUUAACACUUAACCAAUUAUUGAUAUAUUAUUUCAUGUUAUCUCUGACAAUGCUUAUGAUGUAAUUUUGCUUUAAAAGGGACAUGUCGUCCUCCCUGAAUAAAGAUUCCUCAAG